rnacentral:rRNA from 1 species
GAUGAACGCUGGCGGCGUGCCUAAUACAUGCAAGUCGAGCGAACAGACGAGGAGCUUGCUCCUCUGUCCUUCGCGGCGGACGGGUGAGUAACACGUGGAUAACCUACCUAUAAGACUUGGAUAACUUCGGCAAACCGGAGCUAAUACCGGAUAAUAUAUUGAACCGCAUGGUUCAAUACUUAACGCCGGUUUUGCUUCCGCUUAUAGAUGGAUCCGCGCCGCAUUAGCUAGUUGGUAAGGUAACGGCUUACCAAGGCAACGAUGCGUAGCCGACCUGAGAGGGUGAUCGGCCACACUGGAACUGAGACACGGUCCAGACUCCUACGGGAGGCAGCAGUAGGGAAUCUUCCGCAAUGGGCGAAAGCUUGACGGAGCAACGCCGCGUGAGUGAUGAAGGUCUUCGGAUCGUAAAACUCUGUUAUUAGGGAAGAACAAAUGUGUAAGUAACUAUGCACGUCUUGACGGUACCUAAUCAGAAAGCCACGGCUAACUACGUG